ensembl:lncRNA
GGGACCUGGGGAGCAGGGCGGAGGGGCCCGGCCAGCCUGGGGGCGCACGUACGUCCCCGUGCUUUGCAACAGAUGCAGAGCUGCGGCUGCGGCCCCGCACCCCCACCUCGCGCCUCCGCCCCUCUGCCUCUCCGCCGUGCGCGCGAGUUCCCCUGGCGCGCGCGGCAGGAUAAUGGCCUUCCUGCUUUCCAAGAAGGUGGGGAGCGGACCGGGGAGGGGGUACCUGGGAGGAGGGGAGGGGGCGGGGCGGGCUGGGAAUCCGCGAGCCGGAAUCCACCCGGGGCUGGGGGAGCCCGCGCGUCACGUGCCGGGCCCCGGCUCGGGUUCUCGCAUGUUAAUGAUGCGGGAGUUCCAAUCAGAGAGCGCUGGGGGGGCUGGUGGGGGUGGGCCGGGGGAGGCUCCUCUUGGGCAGGAACCACCCUCCUCCGCAGCGGAGGGUGGUCCGCUGUCACCUGACCGCCAGCCGCGCGCCGGCCUCCCGGACCCCCCCCCCCGGCCCACGCCCCCCCCGCGAGUCCGGGGGGCGAUGGUACUGCCUGCUCGGUUACAAAGUCCCCCGCCCGCGCGGGGCCGGCUCUGUGCAGCUGGAUCCCUGACCGCGGCCAGGCUGCUGUCGCUGCUGCCGCUGCUGCUGCUACCGCUACCGCCGCUGCUAGGGAUGCUGAUGCUGCCGCUGCCGGAGAUAGAUGCUGAGGAUGCUCCCGCGGCCUCCCCGCCGCCCCCCUCUCCCUUUUCCACUCUUCCCUGGACGGCUUUUCCAUUCUCCUGGUGCCUCCUGCGCGGGCACCAGCCAACCAGCCAGCCAAGGACAGGGCUCCUUCGCGGCUUCUGCGGCUGCCCCACGCCGCCCACCGCCGCCGCUGAGAGGCUCCCCUCAGCCGGCGCGCCUCACCUCGAUGCCCGUCCUUCAGGUGUGGCCCUGAGCGUGGCGAUGGCACCAGUGGAUGGCUCUCUGACGCAGUGCGAUAAGUCUGAUGACAUCUUGAGAGGCAGAAACGACUUCAUCCGAACCAGAUGA